GAUGAACGCUGGCGGCGUGCCUAAUACAUGCAAGUCGAGCGAACAGACGAGGAGCUUGCUCUUCUGACGUUAGCGGCGGACGGGUGAGUAACACGUGGAUAACCUACCUAUAAGACUGGGAUAACUUCGGGAAACCGGAGCUAAUACCGGAUAAUAUAUUGAACGGCAUGGUUCAAUAGUGAAAGACGGUUUUGCUGUCACUUAUAGAUGUAUCCGCGCCGCAUUAGCUAGUUGGUAAGGUAACGGCUUACCAAGGCAACGAUGCGUAGCCGACCUGAGAGGGUGAUCGGCCCCACUGGAACUGAGACACGGUCCAGACUCCUACGGGAGGCAGCAGUAGGGAAUCGACCGCAAUGGGCGAAAGCUUGACGGAGCAACGCCGCGUGAGUGAUGAAGGUCUUCGGAUCGUAAAACUCUGUUAUUAGGGAAGAACAAAUGUGUAAGUAACUAUGCACGUCUUGACGGUACCUAAUCAGAAAGCCACGGCUAACUACGUG
rnacentral:rRNA from 1 species